rnacentral:rRNA from 1 species
AGUAUUUUGACUAUACAAAGGUAUUGAAAUAAGACUUUAAUUGAGUGCUAAGAGAAUGGAAUUUCAUAAAAUUUCUUUUUUAAUUUUAAAAAUUGAAAUUAAUUUUAUAUGUGAAGAAACAAUAAUAAAAAUUAAGGACAAGAAGACCCUAAGAAUUUUAAAAAUUUCAAUAAAAUACAGCAUUUUAUUGAAAUUUUUUAAUUGGGGCGAUUAUUAAAUAUUAAAAACUUUAAUUUUUUUAAAAAAGAACCAAUUAUAUUGGUUAUUUGAAAAAAUACUCUAGGGAUAACAGCGUAAUAAUUUUUGAUAGUUCUUAUAGACAAAAUAGUUUGCGACCUCGAUGUUGGAUUAGGAUUCUUUUUUAAUGAAGAAGUUAAAAAAAGAAGUUUGUUCAACUUUUAAAAUCCU